ACAUAUUCUCCAAAUAGGUCUACUUUGGUUCGGAGACUUAAUAUCUGUUCUUAUCAGCUUAAUAUCUGAUAGGGCCCUCUCAUGGGUCUUCUGAUCUUAGCCAUAUUUUUGUAAGCUGGUUCCGGACGGGGCUUGCUCCUCCGGUGCCACGGGUUGCCCCGGUAUUGCACUGUAACCGGUGCGGCCCACUUUUC
rnacentral:snRNA from 1 species